rnacentral:ncRNA from 2 species
CGAACCCGCGCGGGAGAGCCGGAACGACCGUCAUCCGGUCGCGACCGGCGCCGAAGGAGCAAGUCCUCCCCGGAAUCUCUCAGGCCCCCUUACCGCCCGGGCGAG